rnacentral:rRNA from 1 species
AACGAACGCUGGCGGCAUGCCUAACACAUGCAAGUCGAACGAGACCUUCGGGUCUAGUGGCGCAUGGGUGCGUAACGCGUGGGAACCUGCCCUUAGGUUCGGAAUAACUCCCCGAAAGGGGUGCUAAUACCGGAUAAUGUCUUCGGACCAAAGAUUUAUCGCCUUUGGAUGGGCCCGCGUUGGAUUAGCUAGUUGGUAGGGUAAAAGCCUACCAAGGCGACGAUCCAUAGCUGGUCUGAGAGGAUGAUCAGCCACACUGGGACUGAGACACGGCCCAGACUCCUACGGGAGGCAGCAGUGGGGAAUAUUGGACAAUGGGCGAAAGCCUGAUCCAGCAAUGCCGCGUGAGUGAUGAAGGCCUUAGGGUUAUAAAGCUCUUUUACCCGGGAUGAUAAUGACAGUACCGGGAGAAUAAGCUCCGGCUAACUCCGUG